rnacentral:rRNA from 1 species
AAGUAGGGGAUCGUAAGACCUUGCGCUUAUGGAGCGGCCGAUGCCUGAUUAGCUAGUUGGUGGGGUAAUGGCUUACCAAGGCUACGAUCAGUAGUUGGUCUGAGAGGACGACCAGCCACACUGGGACUGAGACACGGCCCAGACUCCUACGGGAGGCAGCAGUGGGGAAUUUUGGACAAUGGGCGAAAGCCUGAUCCAGCAAUGCCGCGUGAGUGAAGAAGGCCUUCGGGUUGUAAAGCUCUUUCAGUCGAGAAGAAAAGGUUGUGACUAAUAAUCACAAUUUAUGACGGUAUCGACAGAAGAAGCACCGGCUAACUACGUGCCAGCAGCCGCGGUAAUACGUAGGGUGCAAGCGUUAAUCGGAAUUACUGGGCGUAAAGGGUGCGCAGGCGGCUUUGUAAGUCAGAUGUGAAAUCCCCGGGCUUAACCUGGGAAUUGCGUUUGAAACUACAAAGCUUAG